UUGGUUAUUUAUCACCGAAAGGGAAUUUUUUCCGGAAGGGGAGCAUCACAAAGGUCGCGAGAAUGGCGUCGCUUUCACUCACUGGUGCAAAAAUCUCUCCGUACUCAGGACUGCUCCGCCGCGAUAUUGUUCGUUUUUCCUCCCCGUUCACCGUAACACUAAACCCGAUCUCUGCGCCCAGAUCAGUUUCUAGGGCGAUGCUUUCUCCGCGGAAAGCUUUGUCUUCAUCGAAUCUGUCGGGAUUCGCAACAUGCUUGCUCGAUUUCCUCCGUGCUUCACCCGCUACUUGGGAGUCCUCUAUUGCGAGCAAUCUCCUUAUUUUCACACUUGGAUCGCCGCUUCUCUUGUCCGGGCUUUCUGCAUCGGGGAUAGGGUCUGCAUUCUUAAUGGGUGUCUUGACUUGGAGAGCCUUUGAUGCACCUGGGUUCUUCCUUGUGGCAAUCUAUUUUGUUGCAGGAACAGCAGUAACAAAGUUGAAAAUUGCACAAAAACAAGCUCUUGGUGUGGCUGAGAAAAGGAUGGGAAGAAGAGGUCCGGGCAGCGUUUUUGGAUCCAGUGCUGCUGGAUGUGCAUGUGCCUUAUUAUCAAUAUAUAGCGUUGGUGGAUCUGCAUUUUCAGAACUUUGGCGGCUUGCUUUUGUGGCUAGCUUUUGUACCAAAUUAAGUGAUACUGUUUCUAGUGAAAUUGGGAAGGCAUAUGGGAAGACUGCGUAUCUUGUAACAACAUUUAAGGUAGUCCCACGUGGCACUGAAGGUGCUGUUAGUGUUGAAGGGACUAUUGCUGGACUUUUGGCUUCAGUUAUUCUUUCUACAGUGAGCUAUUUUUUGGGCGAGGUUAACACACCACAAGCUGCCAUAUGUGUUCUGGCUUCACAAGUUGCGAACUUCGGUGAAAGCUUCAUAGGUGCUACACUACAAGAGAGAGACGGUUUCCAAUGGCUCAAUAAUGAUGCAGUCAAUGUGCUGAACAUCUCCAUUGGUAGCAUCUUGGCUGUUCUGAUGCAGGUACUCAUAGUUGAUGGCUGGCGGUGAUGAAUGAUUUACAGCAAAUUCACAUGGCGUGUUUCCCUCGCCUUUUAAGAAGUUCUAUCUCGUUGCAACUCGAUUCUUAGACCACCAUGCUUUGAAAUCUUUUCGAUCGCCCAAGCCCUUCAACAACUCUGAGUCCGUGACCAAGCCAGUUCAACCGACUGGAGUACUAUUUAUCUCUCUCUCAGCCUUCUUACGAACCACGUUAUUGUACAGUGGUUCUGCAGAUUUUUGUUCAGUUUCUUUGUUCGGUCACAUCGACCAGUUAUGUCAGGUGCUGUUAGAUUCUAUUUCAAGCAUUUUUUUAAUAGUAUAGCCAGCAAUGUAUUAU